AUUAUCUUGUUUCUCCGAGCCGGUUGUCCUAAGGCUUUAUGCGACGGAUUGCCGGCCGCUAGGGUAAGCCGGGAAACCGGUUUGCCUCCCGUGUGGAAAGGAGAGUGAUGAAGAUGUUA
rnacentral:ncRNA from 2 species